UGAGGAAUAUUGCGCAAUGGGCGAAAGCCUGACGCAGCGACGCCGCGUGGAGGAUGACGGUUUUCGGAUUGUAAACUCCUGUUAAGCGGGAAGAAAAGCUCAUUUCUAAUACAGAUGAGCAAUGACGGUACCGCUAGAGAAAGCACCGGCUAACUUCGUGCCAGCAGCCGCGGUAAUACGAGGGGUGCAAGCGUUAUUCGGAAUAAUUGGGUGUAAAGGGUGCGUAGACGGCAUUUUAAGUCAACUGUUAAAUUUCUCGGCCUAACCGAGAGCCUGCAGAUGAUACUGAUGUGCUAGAGGAUGAAAGAGAGAAGUGGAAUUCUCGGAGUAGCGGUAAAAUGCGUAGAUCUCGAGAGGAACACCAAUGGCGAAAGCAGCUUCUUGGUUCAUUCCUGACGUU
rnacentral:rRNA from 1 species